UUGACCUCAGAUCAGGUAGG
rnacentral:rRNA from 2 species